GGGCGCUUAGCUCAGUGGGAGAGCACUGCCCUUACAAGGCAGGGGUCGCAGGUUCGAACCCUGCAGCGCCCA
rnacentral:tRNA from 1 species